CGCCAGAGGACUUUGGUGACUUUGUCUGCGAAGCGAAGAACAGAUACGGAACAGAGGUUACCGAGGCUGAACUCAUUCAAAUAGAUAUGAAGUCAAUGCUGCCAAUGAGGAAGACCCCAAAGAAGGUUAAUAAGCUGGAUCUAGAGUUUGUGCCGAUGAAACCGAGAUUUGAGCAGCCUUUGCUAAGCGAAGUGCGAGCCCCACUUGGCAUGCCAAUCACUUUGGAAUGCGUGGCGAGAGGACGUCCGCCGCCAGAAGUGCGGUGGUUCCACGAGGAAAAGCCCAUACUUCCGGAUG